UAAAACCUCAAUUUAGUUUGCCUAGUAUGAAGUAUCCCAUAAAAACAAAACAAAACAAAACGUCUUCUCUUUUCCCCCUAAUUUGCUGUCUUUUCCUCUCUGAACCAAAUUGAACCAGUGGACAAAUAGGUCCCAAUGCUUCUUGCAUAUGACCACAAGCUUGGGCAUGUCAGCUGCCUCUGCUCUCCUCUCUAGAUGACAGAUACAUCAGGUCUGGGUUCAGCUGCAGGGCCUCAGGAGAGCAAGAGGAAGCUGCUCUCAUCCUGGCCCAGUGUUGAGAAGUGUAUUGCAGGGAGAGUUUCCAGCUCCACUGGGAGCCGGCUGGUGGAUUUGCCCUGCGCUCUGGCCAUGUGAGAAGCUGUUGUCUCAGACCUCUUUGAACUUUCUAACUUUCUAACUGAAGCCCACUACAAGUCUGAAACAUUUUCCAUUGUCCAGUAACAUUUCCUUUGGUCUCUCCUCUGUGUCUGUUUCUUGAGGACGAUGGUGUAAGAGGAACUCAGAAGGCCGAGGAUGAGAUUAAAAAAGCGAAUUUGGGCGAUAACGCUCAGACUAGAUAUAAGCUCUAGUGGUGUUGGUUGUGUUCUGGAAGACCUGAGGGACACAACGGCUACCAUGCACAUCUGCAUCCUGUAUGUGGCUGAGGGGGAGCCUCACGGAUUUAUGAAGAAUCCAGAAAUGUGUGUCAUCAUUAUGGAAAAAGGGCGACACAGAUCCACUGAUUGGUGGAGUUUGGAUCAGAGCACAGGAAGAAGUCAAGCUAAGCAGUCACGAGCAAGAGAACAUUCGGCUCCUCUCUCAUCCGCCACAUACUUGACCCACAGUAACUCCGCUUUGACAGAGCAUCACAGCUUUUCUGUCUUUGUUGAAGAAGGCUGA
ensembl:lncRNA